ACUCCUACGGGAGGCAGCAGUGGGGAAUAUUGCACAAUGGGCGCAAGCCUGAUGCAGCCAUGCCGCGUGUAUGAAGAAGGCCUUCGGGUUGUAAAGUACUUUCAGCGGGGAGGAAGGCGAUAAGGUUAAUAACCUUGUCGAUUGACGUUACCCGCAGAAGAAGCACCGGCUAACUCCGUGCCAGCAGCCGCGGUAAUACGGAGGGUGCAAGCGUUAAUCGGAAUUACUGGGCGUAAAGCGCACGCAGGCGGUCUGUCAAGUCGGAUGUGAAAUCCCCGGGCUCAACCUGGGAACUGCAUUCGAAACUGGCAGGCUAGAGUCUUGUAGAGGGGGGUAGAAUUCCAGGUGUAGCGGUGAAAUGCGUAGAGAUCUGGAGGAAUACCGGUGGCGAAGGCGGCCCCCUGGACAAAGACUGACGCUCAGGUGCGAAAGCGUGGGGAGCAAACAGGAUUAGAAACCCUUGUAGUCCCAUGAU
rnacentral:rRNA from 1 species